UGGCGCACCUGGGGAUGAACAUACCUGAGAGGCGUUGACUUGAACUAGAGGAGGAUACUCCACCACCAGUCGACCCAGCGAGCCAGCACACCAGCCCAUUCAACAACCUGCUUAGAUGGGAGCCCCAACCACCGAGAGUUCCAAGGUUGCCAUGGUUAUUUCUCUGCUGACUGGGCGGUCGUCGGAAUGGGCCACGGCCAUCUGGGAGAGGAGGAGCUGGAUUCGUAUGAGGGGUUCAUGGCUCUGUUCAGAGGUAUCUUCGAUCAUCCACCGGAGGGCAGAGAGGGGUGAGCGCCUACUCCGACUACAGCAGGAGGACCAGACUACAGCUGAGUACGCGGUCACCUUUUGGACAGUUGCAGCAUUAAGUGGAUGGAAUGAGCCGGCGCUUCAUGCGAUAUUCACAAGAGGACUGCGUGAGGAGGUCCAGACGGAACUGGCCUGUCGAGAGGACAACCUCUCCUUGGACGCUCAGACUGUCAUGGUUCCACCUGUCACCAGAGGGUAACAGAGACCGUCCUAGAGACAUUAAUGACACUCAGCUGUGUCCUAUUACUCAUUAUGAUGUCCAUGUUAAAAGAGUUCAUCUGAUGCUACGUGAGAUCAGGUACCACUGUUCCUCUACGACCCGCGCCUACCCAGAGAGACAUGCAGCCUGUCGCCGCUACCCAGCUAUUCUCCUCUGCUGCUAAGAAGCGGGCUCUUUUGUAAUUAUCAGAAGGACUUUUUGUUUCAUUUGUCGCCCUCUCUGCGGGUUGUCUAUUUUGCCAUUAUCUACAUCUGAAGAGGAUCUAUGUCUUCCCUGUGUUUACAUUAAAGGACUCUGUUUUCGAAUACCGCUUUUGGGUCCUCACUCAAGUGCAUAACAGGCCUGGGUUACCCCUGUGGGAUUCUGUGUUUUGACAUGCAAAACUGAAUGUUUUUGUUGAAAACGCUUUAUCUG